rnacentral:rRNA from 1 species
AGCGAACGCUGGCGGCAGGCCUAACACAUGCAAGUCGAACGAAGUCUUCGGACUUAGUGGCGGACGGGUGAGUAACACGUGGGAACGUGCCUUUAGGUUCGGAAUAACUCAGGGAAACUUGUGCUAAUACCGAAUGUGCCCUUCGGGGGAAAGAUUUAUCGCCUUUAGAGCGGCCCGCGUCUGAUUAGCUAGUUGGUGAGGUAAUGGCUCACCAAGGCUACGAUCAGUAGCUGGUCUGAGAGGAUGACCAGCCACAUUGGGACUGAGACACGGCCCAAACUCCUACGGGAGGCAGCAGUGGGGAAUCUUGCGCAACGGGCGAAAGCCUGACGCAGCCAUGCCGCGUGGAUGAUGAAGGUCUUAGGAUUGUAAAAUCCUUUCACCGGUGAAGAUAAUGACUGUAGCCGGAGAAGAAGCCCCGGCUAACUUCGUGCCAGCAGCCGCCGUAACAC